rnacentral:tRNA from 1 species
GCUCUCUAAGUUCAUAUGGGUGAACGCCUGCCUUGUAAGCAGGAUGGACGCAGUUCGAUUCUGUGAGAGAGCACCA